rnacentral:miRNA from 1 species
UUGGGUUAGCCAAAAAGUUCAUUCAAAUUUUUCCAUACCAUCUUACGGAAAAACCCAAAUGAACUUUUUGGCCAGCCCCA